CAGCAGCCGCGGUAAUACGAAGGGGGCUAGCGUUGUUCGGAUUUACUGGGCGUAAAGCGCACGUAGGCGGAUCCUUAAGUCAGAGGUGAAAUCCCAAGGCUCAACCUUGGAACUGCCUUUGAUACUGGGGAUCUCGAGUUCGGGAGAGGUGAGUGGAACUGCGAGUGUAGAGGUGAAAUUCGCAGAUAUUCGCAAGAACACCAGUGGCGAAGGCGGCUCACUGGCUCGAAACUGACGCUGAGGCACGAAAGCGUGAGGAGCAAACAGGAUUAGAGACCCCGGUAGUCCCUGUCUCUUAUAC
rnacentral:rRNA from 1 species